CAGUCGCCGCGGGAAAACGGAGGGAGCUAGCGUUGCUCGGAAUCACUGGGCGUAAAGCGCACGUAGGCGGCUAUUCAAGUCAGGGGUGAAAGCCCGGGGCUCAACCCCGGAACUGCCUUUGAAACUAGAUAGCUUGAAUCUUGGAGAGGCGAGUGGAAUUCCGAGUGUAGAGGUGAAAUUCGUAGAUAUUCGGAAGAACACCAGUGGCGAAGGCGACUCGCUGGACAAGUAUUGACGCUGAGGUGCGAAAGCGUGGGGAGCAAACAGGAUUAGAUACCCGCGUAGUCCCUGUCUCUUAUAC
rnacentral:rRNA from 1 species